rnacentral:rRNA from 1 species
UAGGGAAUCUUCGGCAAUGGACGAAAGUCUGACCGAGCAACGCCGCGUGAGUGAAGAAGGUUUUCGGAUCGUAAAACUCUGUUGGUAGAGAAGAACGUUGGUGAGAGUGGAAAGCUCAUCAAGUGACGGUAACUACCUAGAAAGGGACGGCUAACUACGUGCCAG